UACGUAGGGGCGUAGCGUUGUCCGGAUUUAUUGGGCGUAAAGAGCGUGUAGGCGGCCAGAUAGGUCUGCUGUGAAAACUCGAGGCUCAACCUCGAGAUGUCGGCGGAAACCAUUUGGCUAGAGUCCGGAAGAGGAAAGUGGAAUUCCUGGUGUAGCGGUGAAAUGCGCAGAUAUCAGGAAGAACACCCGUGGCGAAGGCGGCUUUCUGGGACGGUACUGACGCUGAGACGCGAAAGCGUGGGGAGCGAACAGGAUAGAA
rnacentral:rRNA from 1 species